GAAUCAACUCAAAGUGGACGACACGCGGUUUUACAUAUGAUUUUAUCCACAAGCCAUGAAGCCAUACAACAAGUGGCUCUUAAUCGGCUUGAUUGACAAGCCAUGCUAGCUGCUUAAAUUUAUAAUUAAUAAUUGCUUCCAACUUUUAAUUAGUCCAGGCAAAAAACUACAAGGAUAUUGACUUGAUUAUUAUACGAUCUAUUUUAGGUUACAAAACGAGUACAAAUCCUAAAGAGAAAUUUCAGGUUCUUUGCCCAUUCUAAUACGAAGUCAGACCACAAAUUUGAAGACGAAUGAUGGAUCUGAAACGUUGUUAUUUUAUUGGAUUUAAAACACAUGCAAAUAACCUCAGGCAUUUACCUGGAGAUUAACUAUGAAAUAUAAACAUAAAUAUGGGAAAUUGGUAAAUAAAACACACUAAGAAACUAUCUGAAAGAAAACGUGCAGGCUGGAUAUGGAAGCACAUUCUCCUUCGCAGCUUAUUUUAUUCUUCUCGUUCUUCCAUCGCUUUCACAUCUACUCUCUUAUGCAGAACAUUCUUCUUACCUGCAAGAAUACAUUUACUUUCCGUCGUUAGGAUUAAGUAAUUAUUAAUGUUCUAACUUAAUUAUAAGUUGGUGAAAAUAAUUUUUUCAGAAAUUGGAAAUCUAAAUAGUGUUUUCUGAAAAUCAUUAAAAUGCACCUUGGAAAUCUGGUUGCAGGUUCUUAGUAGUGAUGAGGAGGAGGAGGAGGAGAACUGUAGUAGUAAUGGUGGGGUGGUGGGUAGUGGACUGGAGGUGGUGGUGGGGGAGACUUGUAGACGUAUGGCUUCUUGUGAGGUGGUGGUGGUGGAGGGGACUUGUAAACGUAUGGCUUCUUGGGUGGUGGUGGAGGGGACUUGUAGACGUAUGGCUUCUUGGGUGGUGGUGGAGGGGACUUGUAGACGUAUGGCUUCUUGGGUGGUGGUGGAGGGGACUUGUAGACGUAUGGCUUCUUGGGUGGUGGUGGAGGGGACUUGUAGACGUAUGGCUUCUUGGGUGGUGGUGGAGGGGACUUGUAGACGUAUGGCUUCUUGGGUGGUGGUGGAGGGGACUUGUAGACGUAUGGCUUCUUGGGUGGUGGUGGAGGGGACUUGUAGACGUAUGGCUUCUUGGGUGGUGGUGGAGGGGACUUGUAGACGUAUGGCUUCUUGGGUGGUGGUGGAGGGGACUUGUAGACGUAUGGCUUCUUGGGUGGUGGUGGAGGGGACUUGUGGACGUAUGGCUUCUUGUGAGGUGGUGGUGGUGGAGGGGACUUGUAGACGUAUGGCUUCUUGGGUGGUGGUGGAGGGGACUUGUAGACGUAUGGCUUCUUGGGUGGUGGUGGAGGGGACUUGUAGACGUAUGGCUUCUUGGGUGGUGGUGGAGGGGA
rnacentral:lncRNA from 1 species